rnacentral:rRNA from 1 species
UACAGAGGUCUCAAGCGUUGUUCGGAUUCAUUGGGCGUAAAGGGUGCGUAGGUGGCGCCGUAAGUCAGGUGUGAAAUUUCGGAGCUUAACUCCGAAACUGCAUUUGAUACUGCGGUGCUUGAGGACUGGAGAGGAGACUGGAAUUCACGGUGUAGCAGUGAAAUGCGUAGAUAUCGUGAGGAAGACCAGUGGCGAAGGCGGGUCUCUGGACAGUUCCUGACACUGAGGCACGGAAGGCCCAGGGGAGCAAACGGG